CUACGGGAGGCUGCAGUGAGGAAUAUUGCACAAUGGGGGGAACCCUGAUGCAGCAACGCCGCGUGGAGGAUGACGCAUUUCGGUGUGUAAACUCCUUUUAUAUGUCAAGAAAAUGACGGUAGCAUAUGAAUAAGCACCGGCUAACUCCGUGCCAGCAGCCGCGGUAAUACGGAGGGUGCAAGCGUUACUCGGAAUCACUGGGCGUAAAGGACGCGUAGGCGGGUUGGAAAGUCAGGUGUGAAAUCCUACAGCUUAACUGUAGAACUGCACUUGAAACUUCUAAUCUAGAGUAUGGGAGGGGGAGAUGGAAUUAGUGGUGUAGGGGUAAAAUCCGUAGAUAUCACUAGGAAUACCUAAAGCGAAGGCGAUCUCCUGGAACAUUACUGACGCUGAGACGCGAAAGCGUGGGGAGCAAACAGGAUUAGAUACCCCCGUAGUC
rnacentral:rRNA from 1 species